rnacentral:rRNA from 1 species
GCAAGACCACCCGCUGAACUUAAGCAUAUCAAUAAGCGGAGGAAAAGAAACUAACCAGGAUGCGCCUAGUAACGGCGAGUGAACCGCGCAUAGCCCAACUUGAAAAUCUCCCUUUGGAGAAUUGUAGUCUAUAGAAGCGCCCUCUGUGGCGGUCGGAGCUCAAGUCCUCUGGAAAGGGGCGUCAGAGAGGGUGAGAACCCCGUCGGCUCUCGGCUUAGCUGCUCCACGAGGUGCUUUCCACGAGUCGGGUUGUUUGAGAAUGCAGCCCAAAAUGGGAGGUAAAUCCCUUCUAAGGCUAAAUACUGGCGAGAGACCGAUAGCGAACAAGUACCGUGAGGGAAAGAUGAAAAGAACUUUGAAAAGAGAGUUAAAAAGUGCUUGAAAUUGUUGAGAGGGAAGCGAUUGGAGGCUGCGGGUGCGCCCAGGCUCAUGCGUCUCUAACGAGCCGCUGUAUGUGCUGGGUGCUGGUCAGCAUGGGUUAGGCCGGCGGGAUAAAAGCAGGGGUUGAUACCCUGUCUAUGCCGCCGGCUUGACCAAGGCGUGAAUGGCGCUCAGACCUUCGGGAUCUGCGUCAUCAAGAUGCUGGCAGAAGGCUUUCAAUCGGCCCGUCUUGUAACACGGACCAAGGAGUCUAACAUGUAUGCGAGUUGGUGGGUGGAAAACCCAUGAAGCGCAAGUAACCUGAC